rnacentral:lncRNA from 1 species
AUUGUCGGAUCGUUGGACAUGCCAAAUUGGAUAAGAUAACUCAACCUUUAAAUGCUUUCACGAGAUCAGGAGAGAUGGUUACAUCAAAUCUUAUCUUAUUCGGGAUAGACAGCUGUCGCACAUGUUAAAGAGAUAAGUCGGUUGAACAGCUCAAAUACAGGUUAGACCUUGGAGAUGCCUCAGCUCAGCAUGAAGAUGGACUUCUCUGCUCAUACGAUGGUCAGCAAUCGUAUUAAUGAUCUGAGAGCUUGACAUGUAUUAUGAUAUAGCGC